rnacentral:rRNA from 1 species
UGAAACCGUGUGCCUACAAGUAGUUAGAGCCCGUUAAUGGGUGAUAGCGUGCCUUUUGUAGAAUGAACCGGCGAGUUACGAUUUGUUGCAAGGUUAAGCGGAAAAAGCGGAGCCGUAGCGAAAGCGAGUCUGAAUAGGGCGCAUAAGUAACAGGUCGUAGACCCGAAACCAGGUGAUCUACCCAUGUCCAGGAUGAAGGUAAGGUAAUACUUACUGGAGGUCCGAACCCACGCACGUUGAAAAGUGCGGGGAUGAGGUGUGGGUAGCGGAGAAAUUCCAAUCGAACUUGGAGAUAGCUGGUUCUCUCCGAAAUAGCUUUAGGGCUAGCCUCGAGGUAAAGAGUCAUGGAGGUAGAGCACUGUUUGGACUAGGGGCCCUUCUCGGGUUACCGAAUUCAGAUAAACUCCGAAUGCCAUGUACUUAUACUCGGGAGUCAGACUGCGAGUGAUAAGAUCCGUAGUCGAAAGGGAAACAGCCCAGACCACCAGUUAAGGUCCCCAAAUAUAUGUUAAGUGGAAAAGGAUGUGGGGUUGCUUAGACAACCAGGAUGUUGGCUUAGAAGCAGCCACCAUUGAAAGAGUGCGUAAUAGCUCACUGGUCGAGUGACCCCGCGCCGAAAAUGUACCGGGGCUAAACAUAUUACCGAAACUGUGGAUGAACCUCUUUAGAGGUUCGUGGUAGGAGAGCGUUCUAAGGGCGGUGAAGUCAGACCGGAAGGACUGGUGGAGCGCUUAGAAGUGAGAAUGCCGGUAUGAGUAGCGAAAGAAGGGUGAGAAUCCCUUCCACCGAAUAUCUAAGGUUUCCUGAGGAAGGCUCGUCCGCUCAGGGUUAGUCGGGACCUAAGCCGAGGCCGAUAGGCGUAGGCGAUGGACAACAGGUAGAGAUUCCUGUACCAGUGCUAAUUGUUUAACCGAUGGGGUGACACAGAAGGAUAGGGAAUCGCACGAAUGGAAAUGUGCGUCCAAGCAGUGAGUGUGAGAAGUAGGCAAAUCCGCUUCUCGCGAAGCAUGAGCUGUGAUGGGGAAGGAAAUUAAGUACGGAAGUUCCUGAUUUCACGCUGUCAAGAAAAGCCUCUAGGAAGAGUAGUACUGCCCGUACCGCAAACCGACACAGGUAGAUGAGGAGAGAAUCCUAAGGUGAGCGAGAGAACUCUCGUUAAGGAACUCGGCAAAAUGACCCCGUAACUUCGGGAGAAGGGGUGCUCUAUUAGGGUGCAAGCCCGAGAGAGCCGCAGUGAAUAGGCCCAGGCGACUGUUUAGCAAAAACACAGGUCUCUGCAAAACCGUAAGGUGACGUAUAGGGGCUGACGCCUGCCCGGUGCUGGAAGGUUAAGAGGAGUGCUUAGCUUCGGCGAAGGUACGAAUUGAAGCCCCAGUAAACGGCGGCCGUAACUAUAACGGUCCUAAGGUAGCGAAAUUCCUUGUCGGGUAAGUUCCGACCCGCACGAAAGGCGCAACGAUCUGGGCACUGUCUCAACGAGAGACUCGGUGAAAUUAUAGUACCUGUGAAGAUGCAGGUUACCCGCGACAGGACGGAAAGACCCCGUGGAGCUUUACUGCAACCUGAUAUGGAAUGUUUGUACCGCUUGUACAGGAUAGGUAGGAGCCGAAGAGACGUGUGCGCUAGCAUACGAGGAGGCAAUGGUGGGAUACUACCCUGGCUGUAUGACCAUUCUAACCCGCCACGCUUAGCGCGUGGGGAGACAGUGUCAGGUGGGCAGUUUGACUGGGGCGGUCGCCUCCUAAAGAGUAACGGAGGCGCCCAAAGGUUCCCUC